rnacentral:lncRNA from 1 species
CCAGAGUGAAUGCAUGUAUCUGUUCUGUAACGAUGUUUACAAGAAUCCUCAAAGGGUUUGGUGACUGGUCUUAAUGAUACAGAUGCCUGAGUUGUUGAUGGAUUAUUUUUUUGCCUCAGGCCACAGUAGCUCAAGCUUGGUGGUGUCUGAAAUAACUAGGGGGAUGUGUUUAUUUAGCAUCUCUAGGUUUACUGUCAGCGAACAGAGAGGUUAAGACACUUGCCCUGAGAUACCCAGUGAAUUAGUUAUAGAAACAGGACCAGAAUGUAUGUAUGCAUGGGUUGCCAAAUGCUGGAUCCCAAAAUAUCACCACAACAACCUGUAGAGAAGCAAAGCUGAGUUUGUUGCCUACUGUGGUAAGAGAGCACCAGCUUGACAGGGUCUAAUUGCUUCUCACCGGGGGAGGAGCAAAUCUGGAAUGUUUACUGAGGCUUUCAAGCCUGGCUCACAGAAGCUUAGUUAGGACCAGGUAAGAUCAUGGUUUAGUAGUUCAGGAUUGGCGAACACACCAAGACAAGGCAUUUGAGGAGAGGGAUUCUUGAGUACAAACUCCUUUGGAUGCUUUCCGUUCCAGAGUGGAUGAGCCUUUCAGAAAGUUCCUGGUUUGAACAACUUUCACCUUCCCGAGCAAGAGUCUCCCAGAAAAGAAAAGUCAUGUUAACGUGGACGGUGAGUUGUGCGGAUGGUUUGAUUCUUAGUAUGUAUAUAUUUAAUUAAUGUAUUUAGUUAGUUUUUUUUCAUCUUUAGAUGUUUAUUGACUUUGUAUUUGCACCACCUGUUUUGUAGAAGCUGUCAGCAGAGCAGUGAAUUUCCCCUCUUCCACCCAGACCCCAAACACUCUGAAAUAGAAAUAAAAUUUCAGCCCCUCUUGACCUUGAACCAUAAAGUCAAAUUUGACCUUCACAAAAAUACUUUCCCGUGUAAGUGAAAGCUGGCUGUGGUGACUCAUGGAGACCGUCUCUCUCCGGGCUUGGAGGAACUCAAGGGGGAUGCUUGCGCCAAAGGAUUUUGUGCUCGAGUGUUUCCAACCUUUGAACCAGGGGUCCUCAUCCAGUGUGUCCCGGUACAUGAGAGAGGGAACCAUAAACCCUUACAGGUGCGAGGCUGACCCCACAUCCCCACAGUCAACUGCCUGAGAGUGAGGACCACCGGGCUCCACUUCUGCUCCAUGGAGAAGGACCUGGGGCAAGGCAGGGAACACUGUAGGUGCUUCGCAAGACUUGCCCAGCGGUUUAUUUUUCAUGGUGAAAACACAUUUGAACCCAGAAGUUCUGAAGUAUGUUUUGGCCCCCCCCUCACCCCCCCGACUGCAUGACUGGAAACACAGAGGCUUGACAUUUCCCUUUCCUUUUGCAUGGCUCAGUGAAUCAAUUCAAACCCAUUAAGAUUUUCAGAAUGACAGGAGGAGAAAAUCCUUCCAGUGAACACUCUUAGGAUACUGUGACCGAACACCAUUUCCUUGGACCUGGACCGUUUUCUCAUUUUGAAAAUCCCAUCAAUUGCAAUCCCCUCCUCGAGGCCGAGCAUCUGGUUUUUACUUUCCUACUUCUUGACACAAAAGCCUAUAGCAAAGGCUUGCAGAUAUCUGAAUUACAUACUUGUUAGUAACACCGUGUUGCCCCAUGUUUAAGAGGUAACGUGGAAAGAGUUUUCAAUUUUUCUGGAUGUAUAAAUCUAAAAAGAUAAUUAAUCCUUCAAAAGGGCGGGGGCCAGGAGACUUGGUGUGCUGACCUGGGCUCUGCUCCCAACUGUUCUUGUGAUGCUUGUUAGUAGGAUUCUCAGUGAAAUAGUGUGUGUGUGCAUGUGUGUGUGUGCAUGUGUGUGUGUGUGUGAUGUCUUAAGCAAACUGUUUUUCUGUGUGAGCACAAUUGAAUUUAAAAAAAUCUAAAUUAAGCACAUCUUCUCCAGGAGCGCAUCUGUUGCACAGAGUGAGGCCCAUUCCAUCAAUACAGUUGCCUGCAGAGCAAUGAAGUCAUCCCCAUCCAAUUCCUGAAACCAGAAAUGAGGAUAACAGGCCAGUAUUAAAUAUUAAAUUUUUCCACAUUUUGCCGUUCUCUUCCAGAGAACAACAGAACACUGACAUACUUUCGGGAGCUCAGGUGGAUAGCUAAUGGACUGGGAAAGCUUUCAACUCAA